UACGAAGGGAGCUAGCGUUGUUCGGAAUCACUGGGCGUAAAGCGCACGUAGGCGGAUGUGUCAGUCAGGGGUGAAAUCCCGGAGCUCAACUUCGGAACUGCCUUUGAUACAGCACAUCUGGAGUCCGGAAGAGGUGGGUGGAAUUCCUAGUGUAGAGGUGAAAUUCGUAGAUAUUAGGAAGAACACCAGUGGCGAAGGCGGCUCACUGGCCCGAUACUGACGCUGAUGCGCGAAAGCGUGGGGAGCGAUCCGG
rnacentral:rRNA from 1 species